CGCUCAACCAAUCUCUCUUAGUUUCACGGCAGCCAUGGGUGAACAGGAAGUUAUUUUAAAGAUGAUACACAAGAACAACAAAAGCUAACAACAACAACUAACAACAAAUUUAAGGAUAAAUUUAAGGAUGAGAGUGUAGUCGGACUUACCUACGGCAAGGAGGUCUUUGCCGGAUUUGUUGAGUGGCCAUGGGAUCUUAUCUCGACAAGAAGAACUUACCGUAUAACCCGGUUUCUUUCACAAACAGAGGGAAAUAUGUUCAUGGUAACAACAAUAUUGAGAGUAAGAGUGAAAUUAGCUUACCUACGGCGAGGAGGUUUUCGCCGGAUUAUUGUUGAAGGCUUUUGAUGAAGAUGGCCACCACCUCUUUGGAUGUUAGGGAGACUUGAAGAUGGACUUCAAGUUGGAACUCUCCACCAAGGUAUGAAGAAUUUCUUCUUCACUCUCUUCAAACCAUGGAACUUUGUAACUAGGAAUUCUCACUUCUCAAGUGGUUUUCUUUGGUUUGAAGAAUUGCUUCUUCUUGCCAAGAAACUUGAAAACUAUGAGAGAAAAGAGAGAAGUGAGAAAGCUAGUAGUAUAGUAGCUUUGGUGUGAUUUUCUUCAAUGAGAGAACUUCCUAUUUAUAGGCAAAGUUAAGGGAGUGUUUGGCAAUUGGUAAUCUUGAUUGGCAAGUUUCAAUCAUUGCAAGAUAAGAAAAAGAAUAUAUUCUUCAUCAUUGCAAGAAUAAAAAAUAAGAAUAAGAAUAUUCUUAUGCAAAGAUAUUUUUCAUGAUAUAAGCCAUGUGUGUAAAUUUUUAUGUCAUUUUAUGAUAUCUCUAAGUUGCAUAAUUUUAUGACAUAAAAAUCUCUCUUUGGCUUUCUUUGACUUUUGCUAAUUUCACCCCUCUUUUUGUUUCUUUUUUUUCAUGUUGCAUGAGGACCUUGAAGAAAAGCAUGAAGAAAUUUGAUCUUGAAGAAUGAAGACUUGAAGAAUUCAAGAAUUGCAUUUGAAGUUUUAUUUUUUUCUUUUCCUUGUAAUUCCAACUUUGUAUGAAUGAAACUUUGUAUUCUUGCAAAUGAAUGGAAUUUUGUAAUUCUUGAAUUUUGGAUAAAGUCCACUUG